GCUGGUGUGGCAUAAUGGUUUGAGCAUUGGACUACAAUUCUGGAGACCAGUGUUUGAAUCCCUACUCAGCC